UACGUAGGGUGCGAGCGUUGUCCGGAAUUAUUGGGCGUAAAGAGCUUGUAGGCGGUCUGUCGCGUCUGCUGUGAAAAUCCGGGGCUCAACCCCGGACUUGCAGUGGGUACGGGCAGACUAGAGUGUGGUAGGGGAGACUGGAAUUCCUGGUGUAGCGGUGAAAUGCGCAGAUAUCAGGAGGAGCACCGAUGGCGAAGGCAGGUCUCUGGGGCCAUAACUGACGCUGAGAAGCGAAAGCAUGGGGAGCGAACAGG
rnacentral:rRNA from 1 species